GACGAACGCUGGCGGCGUGCUUAACACAUGCAAGUCGAACGGAAAGGCCCUGCUUUUGUGGGGUGCUCGAGUGGCGAACGGGUGAGUAACACGUGAGUAACCUGCCCUUGACUUUGGGAUAACUUCAGGAAACUGGGGCUAAUACCGGAUAGGAGCUCCUGCUGCAUGGUGGGGGUUGGAAAGUUUCGGCGGUUGGGGAUGGACUCGCGGCUUAUCAGCUUGUUGGUGGGGUAGUGGUUUACCAAGGCUUUGACGGGUAGCCGGCCUGAGAGGGUGACCGGCAACAUUGGGACUGAGAUACGGCCCAGACUCCUACGGGAGGAAGCAGUGGGGAAUAUUGCAAAAUGGGCGGAAGCCUGAUGCAGCAACGCCGCGUGCGGGAUGACGGCCUUCGGGUUGUAAACCGCUUUCGCCUGUGACGAAGCGUGAGUGACGGUAAUGGGUAAAGAAGCACCGGCUAACUACGUG
rnacentral:rRNA from 1 species